rnacentral:rRNA from 1 species
UACGGAGGGUGCAAGCGUUAUCCGGAUUUACUGGGUUUAAAGGGUGCGUAGGCGGACAGGUAAGUCAGUGGUGAAAUCUCCGGGCUCAACCCGGAAACUGCCAUUGAUACUAUCAGUCUUGAAUAUCGUUGAGGUGGGCAGAAUAUGUCAUGUAGCGGUGAAAUGCAUAGAUAUGACAUAGAAUACCGAUUGCGAAGGCAGCUCACUAACCGAUCAUUGACGCUGAGGCACGAAAGCGUGGGGAUCAAACAGG